rnacentral:rRNA from 1 species
GGGGGAUGCCUUGGGUUUCAGAGGCGAUGAAGGACGUGACCAGCUGCGAUAAGCUGCGGGGAGCUGCUGAUAAGCUUUGAUCCGUAGAUUUCCGAAUGGGGCAACCCAUCCCGCUUGCGGGAUAUCCUUUCGAGGAGGCAUACCCGGGGAACUGAAACAUCUAAGUACCCUCAGGAAAAGAAAUCAAUUGAGAUUGCCUUAGUAGCGGCGAGCGAACGGGUAACAGCCGAUGAUUUAUGAUGUAGUGGAAUGUUCUGGGAAGGACAGCGAUACAGGGUGAUAGCCCCGUACACGAAGCAUUAUUUAUCACAUAUUAAGUAGGACGGGACACGUGUUAUCUUGUCUGAAGAUGGGGGGACCAUCCUCCAAGGCUAAAUACUCCUGACUGACCGAUAGUGAACCAGUACCGUGAGGGAAAGGUGAAAAGCACCCCGACGAGGGGAGUGAAACAGACCCUGAAACUGGACGCCUACAAGCAGUCGGAGGGCGAAAGCCUGACGGCGUACCUUUUGUAUAAUGGGUC